rnacentral:rRNA from 1 species
CUCAACGGAUAAAAGGUACUCCGGGGAUAACAGGCUGAUACCGCCCAAGAGUUCAUAUCGACGGCGGUGUUUGGCACCUCGAUGUCGGCUCAUCACAUCCUGGGGCUGAAGUAGGUCCCAAGGGUAUGGCUGUUCGCCAUUUAAAGUGGUACGCGAGCUGGGUUUAGAACGUCGUGAGACAGUUCGGUCCCUAUCUGCCGUGGGCGCUGGAGAACUGAGGGGGGCUGCUCCUAGUACGAGAGGACCGGAGUGGACGCAUCACUGGUGUUCGGGUUGUCAUGCCAAUGGCACUGCCCGGUAGCUAAAUGCGGAAGAGAUAAGUGCUGAAAGCAUCUAAGCACGAAACUUGCCCCGAGAUGAGUUCUCCCUGACUCCUUGAGAGUCCUGAAGGAACGUUGAAGACGACGACGUUGAUAGGCCGGGUGUGUAAGCGCAGCGAUGCGUUGAGCUAACCGGUACUAAUGAACCGUGAGGCUUAACCUUACAACGCCGAAG